GAUGAACGCUAGCGGGAGGCUUAACACAUGCAAGUCGAGGGGCAGCAUAGGGUAGCAAUACUCUGAUGGCGACCGGCAAACGGGUGAGUAACGCGUAUGUAACCUACCCUGUACAGGGGGAUAACCCGGAGAAAUUCGGACUAAUAUCCCAUAACAAUAUCCGGGGGCAUCUUUGGAUAUUUAAAGUUCCGGCGGUACGGGAUGGGCAUGCGUAACAUUAGCUAGUUGGUAAGGUAACGGCUUACCAAGGCUUUGAUGUUUAGGGGUCCUGAGAGGGUGGUCCCCCACACUGGUACUGAGACACGGACCAGACUCCUACGGGAGGCAGCAGUGAGGAAUAUUGGUCAAUGGGCGCAAGCCUGAACCAGCCAUCCCGCGUGCAGGAAGACGGCGCUAUGCGUUGUAAACUGCUUUUCCAGGGAGAGAAACUUGCGCACGUGUUGCGCAAUUGACGGUACCCUGGGAAUAAGCAUCGGCUAACUCCGUGCCAGCAGCCGCGGUAAAACCGUAGCGU
rnacentral:rRNA from 1 species